rnacentral:rRNA from 1 species
GACGAACCGUGCAAACGUUAUUCGGAAUCACUGGGCAUAAAGGGCGCGUAGGCGGCUUCAUAAGUCAGGGGUGAAAUCCGGCAGCUUAACUGUCGCAGUGCCUUUGAUACUGUGGAGCUCGAGGGAGGUAGGGGUCUGUGGAACUUCCGGUGGAGCGGUGAAAUGCGUUGAUAUCGGAAGGAACGCCGGUGGCGAAAGCGACGGACUGGAUCUCUUCUGACGCUGAGGCGCGAAAGCCAGGGGAGCAAAGCGGG